rnacentral:tRNA from 2 species
GCCUCCUUAGUCUAAAGGUCAGGACAUUGGCCUCUCAAGCCAGGGAUGUUCGGUUCAAGUCCGACAGGAGGUA